GGAUGCGAUCAUACCCGCACUAAAGCACCGGA
rnacentral:rRNA from 1 species